rnacentral:rRNA from 1 species
AGUGAACGCUGGCGGUAGGCCUAACACAUGCAAGUCGAACGGCAGCACAGUAAGAGCUUGCUCUUACGGGUGGCGAGUGGCGGACGGGUGAGGAAUACAUCGGAAUCUACUUUUUCGUGGGGGAUAACGUAGGGAAACUUACGCUAAUACCGCAUACGACCUACGGGUGAAAGCAGGGGAUCUUCGGACCUUGCGCGAUUGAAUGAGCCGAUGUCGGAUUAGCUAGUUGGCGGGGUAAAGGCCCACCAAGGCGACGAUCCGUAGCUGGUCUGAGAGGAUGAUCAGCGACAUUGGAACUGGGACACGGUCCAGACUCCUACGGGAGGCAGCAGUGGGGAAUAUUGGACAAUGGGCGCAAGCAUGAUCCAGCCAUACCGCGUGGGUGAAGAAGGCCUUCGGGUUGUAAAGCCCUUUUGUUGGGAAAGAAAAGCAGCAGGUUAAUACCCCGCUGUUCUGACGGUACCCAAAGAAUAAGCACCGGCUAACUUCGUG